rnacentral:rRNA from 1 species
CCUACGGGAGGCAGCAGUGGGGAAUAUUGGGCAAUGGGCGCAAGCCUGACCCAGCAAUGCCGCGUGAAGGAAGAAGGCUUUCGGGUUGUAAACUUCUUUGACAGGGGAAGAGCAGUAGACGGUACCCUGAAAACAAGCCACGCCUAACUACGUGCAAGCAGCGACGGUAUUACGUAGGUGGCAAGCGUUGUCCGGAUUUACUGGGUGUAAAGGUCGUGUAGCCGGGAAGGCAGGUCAGAUGUGAAAUCUUGAGGCUAAAGCGCCGAAUUGCAUUUGAAACUGUUUUGCUUGAGUACUGGAGAGGCAGACGGAAUGCCUGGUGUAGCGGUGAAAUGCGUAGAUAUAA